GCCGCGUUAGCUCAGUGGUAGAGCGCGCCACUCGUACUGAAUUAUAGCGUUCAGUUAUGGUGAGGUCGAUUGUUCGAUCCAGUCACGUGGCA
rfam:Fomitiporia mediterranea MF3/22 unplaced genomic scaffold FOMMEscaffold_1, whole genome shotgun sequence.